AGGGUUCGAUUCUGGCUCAGGAUGAACGCUAGCGACAGGCUAACACAUGCAAGUCGAGGGGCAGCACGGGAGUAGCAAUACAACUGGUGGCGACCGGCGCACGGGUGAGUAACGCGUAUGCAACCUACCUAUCAGAGGGGAAUAACCCGGCGAAAGUCGGACUAAUACCGCAUAAAACAGGGGCACCGCAUGGUGAUAUUUGUUAAAGAAAUUCGCUGAUAGAUGGGCAUGCGUUCCAUUAGGUAGUUGGUGAGGUAACGGCUCACCAAGCCGACGAUGGAUAGGGAACUGAGAGGUUGGUCCCCCACACUGGUACUGAGACACGGACCAGACUCCUACGGGAGGCAGCAGUGAGGAAUAUUGGUCAAUGGGCGAGAGCCUGAACCAGCCAAGUCGCCGUGAAGGAAGAAGGAUCUAUGGUUCGUAAACUUCUUUUGCAGGGGAAUAAAGUGCGGGACGUGUCCUGUUUUGUAUGUACCCUGAGAAUAAGGAUCGGCUAACUCCGUGCCAGCAGCGGC
rnacentral:rRNA from 1 species